rnacentral:rRNA from 1 species
UACGAAGGGGGCUAGCGUUGUUCGGAAUUAUGUACGUGGGCGUAAAGCGCACGUAGGCGGAUAAUUUGAAGUCAGGGGUGAAACUCCCAGAGCUCAACUCUGGAACUGCCUUUGAUACUGGGUAUCUCGAGUAUGGAAGAAGGUGAGUGGAAUUCCGAGUGUAGAGGUGAAAUUCGUAGAUAUCAGGAGGAACACCGAUGGACGAAGGCAGCUCGCUGGAACGGUAC